rnacentral:misc_RNA from 1 species
AAAUAAUUAUAUGUUACCGUAUAUAAUAGGUUACAGGGAUUUAGAGUGAGAAGAAAGUCUCGAGAUGAAAUAAAGAAAAAUUGAUCAGUAGAUCAGAUCAAGUUUUGCCUCCCUGACAUCACAUCACCUCCCUAACUUGAAAAAUUUUUGCAGUUUUCAUUGUUCAAAUUGAGUAAUAUUUUGGUUUCCCUCUCCCUUCUUUAGGCAAAAAUCCAAAUGUAGAAUUCAAGAAACAAUUCCAUUCGUUUCAUUGAAAAUUUUCAAUCUUAAAAAUUACACCUUAGGAAUCAAGGAGAUCCAUUCCCAUCCUUGCUUAACUGGGCCUCAGCAUACUCCUUGAUCAAAUCGGGAUCUACAUUCUCUUCCGGCUCCCACGUGGCCUCAUCAAUAUCCGUCCACUUUACAAGAUACUCAUUCUUCCCAUCAUCGCCAACUCUCUUACCCAUCACUCCCUCCGCCACAGCAUACUCUAGUCCUCCCUCAAAAUCCUUCACUAAAUCCUCGCCGAUAAACUGGGCUUUCAUCCACUCAUUAUUACUCCCGUCCUUCCAUUUGACCAAAUACUCCACCUUAUCGCCCUUCCCUCUCCUCUCCAAUAUCUCCUGCACCUCCGCGUACUCGAAUAUUUCCUCGUCUAGAAU